AGGUCCAGCACUGAAUGCUUCAGGAAAGAAAGCUCUUCCCUGGAGUUUUACAGCUCUAUUAAACAGCCAUCCUCAGAUGAUCAUGG
rnacentral:miRNA from 14 species